rnacentral:tRNA from 1 species
GGGCGAUUAGCUCAGUUGGUAGAGCAUCUCCCUUACAAGGAGGGGGUCAUCAGUUCGAAUUUGGUAUCGCCCACCA